AUCAAUGGCCGCGGUACUUUGACCGUGCUAAGGUAGCGCAAUCAAUUGGUUUUUAAUUGGAGCCAGGUAUGAAUGGAGUCACGGGGUUUAGCUGUCUCCUAUUUAUUACAUCGAAGUUACUAUGUAGGUGAAAAAGCCUAUAAUAAGAAAAAAGACGAGAAGACCCUUAGAGUUUUACUUAAAUUGAAAAUUACAAUAUUCAAAACAGUUUAGUUGGGGCAACGUAGGAGCAAAAUAAAUCUCCUAAAAUAAUUUAUCGAUUAUUUUAGCAUUAAAUAAACUACCUUAGGGAUAACAGCAUAAUUUUAUUAAUAAGUUUGUGACCUCGAUGUUGGACUGGGAAACUAAAUGGCUAGCCGCCUUUUAGGUAAGUUCUGNUCGAAC
rnacentral:rRNA from 1 species